GCUUGGGAGACAUACUUCUUUAUACGCCCAUAUGGACUUGCUGCACUAUGGAAUGUAAAGAAGUAUGUACCCCAGGC
rnacentral:pre_miRNA from 1 species